GCUCCUACCGAUUGAGUGAUUCGGUGAAUAAUUCGGACUGCAGCAAUGUUUGGAUCCCGAACGUUGCAGCGGAAAGUUUAGUGAACCUCAUCACUUAGAGGAAGGAGAAGUCGUAACAAGGAUUCCGUAG
rnacentral:rRNA from 1 species